rnacentral:rRNA from 1 species
GACGAACGCUGGCGGCGUGCUUAACACAUGCAAGUCGAACGGAAAGGCCCUGCUUUUGUGGGGUGCUCGAGUGGCGAACGGGUGAGUAACACGUGAGUAACCUACCCUUGACUUUGGGAUAACUUCAGGAAACUGGGGCUAAUACCGGAUAGGAGCUCCUGCUGCAUGGUGGGGGUUGGAAAGUUUCGGCGGUUGGGGAUGGACUCGCGGCUUAUCAGCUUGUUGGUGGGGUAGUGGCUUACCAAGGCUUUGACGGGUAGCCGGCCUGAGAGGGUGACCGGCCACAUUGGGACUGAGAUACGGCCCAGACUCCUACGGGAGGCAGCAGUGGGGAAUAUUGCACAAUGGGCGGAAGCCUGAUGCAGCAACGCCGCGUGCGGGAUGACGGCCUUCGGGUUGUAAACCGCUUUCGCCUGUGACGAAGCGUGAGUGACGGUAAUGGGUAAAGAAGCACCGGCGAACUACGU